rnacentral:rRNA from 1 species
GGUAGUCCACGCCGUAAACGAUGUCGACUUGGAGGUUGUGCCCUUGAGGCGUGGCUUCCGGAGCUAACGCGUUAAGUCGACCGCCUGGGGAGUACGGCCGCAAGGUUAAAACUCAAAUGAAUUGACGGGGGCCCGCACAAGCGGUGGAGCAUGUGGUUUAAUUCGAUGCAACGCGAAGAACCUUACCUGGUCUUGACAUCCACGGAAGUUUUCAGAGAUGAGAAUGUGCCUUCGGGAACCGUGAGACAGGUGCUGCAUGGCUGUCGUCAGCUCGUGUUGUGAAAUGUUGGGUUAAGUCCCGCAACGAGCGCAACCCUUAUCCUUUGUUGCCAGCGGUCCGGCCGGGAACUCAAAGGAGACUGCCAGUGAUAAACUGGAGGAAGGUGGGGAUGACGUCAAGUCAUCAUGGCCCUUACGACCAGGGCUACACACGUGCUACAAUGGCGCAUACAAAGAGAAGCGACCUCGCGAGAGCAAGCGGACCUCAUAAAGUGCGUCGUAGUCCGGAUUGGAGUCUGCAACUCGACUCCAUGAAGUCGGAAUCGCUAGUAAUCGUGGAUCAGAAUGCCACGGUGAAUACGUUCCCGGGCCUUGUACACACCGCCCGUCACACCAUGGGAGUGGGUUGCAAAAGAAGUAGGUAGCUUAACCUUCGGGAGGGCGCUUACCACUUUGUGAUUCAUGACUGGGGUGAAGUCGUAACAAGGUAACC